CGCGUAGGUGGUUCGUUAAGUUGGAUGUGAAAUCCCCGGGCUCAACCUGGGAACUGCAUUCAAAACUGACGAGCUAGAGUAUGGUAGAGGGUGGUGGAAUUUCCUGUGUAGCGGUGAAAUGCGUAGAUAUAGGAAGGAACACCAGUGGCGAAGGCGACCACCUGGACUGAUACUGACACUGAGGUGCGAAAGCGUGGGGAGCAAACG
rnacentral:rRNA from 1 species